rnacentral:rRNA from 1 species
GAUGAACGCUGGCGGCGUGCCUAAUACAUGCAAGUCGAGCGAACAGAUGCGGCUCUUGCUCCUCUGACGUUAGCGGCGGACGGGUGAGUAACACGUGGAUAACCUCCCUAUAAGACUGGUAUAACUUCGGGAAACCGGCUCUUAUACCGGAUAAUCUCUUGCACCGCAUGGUUCAAUAGUGAAAGACGGUUUUGCUGUCUCUUAUCGAUGGAUCCGCGCCGCAUUAGCUAGUUGGUAAGUUAACGGCUUACCAAGGCAACGAUGCGUAGCCGACCUGAGAGAGUGAUAGGCGACACGGGAACGGAGACACGGACAAGACGCCUACGGGAGGCAGCAGUAGGGAAUCUUACGCAAUAGGCGAGAGCCUGACGGAGCAACGCCGCGUGAGUGAUGAAGGUCUUCGGAUCGUAAAAAUCGGUUAUGAGUGAAGAACAAAUGUGGAAGUAAAUAUGCACGUCUUGACGGUACCGAAUCAGAAAGCAACGGCUAACUACGUG